rnacentral:rRNA from 1 species
UGGGGAAUAUUGCACAAUGGGCGCAAGCCUGAUGCAGCCAUGCCGCGUGUAUGAAGAAGGCCUUCGGGUUGUAAAGUACUUUCAGCUGGGAGGAAGGGAGUAAAGUUAAUACCUUUGCUCAUUGACGUUACCCGCAGAAGAAGCACCGGCUAACUCCGUGCCAGCAGCCGCGGUAAUACGGAGGGUGCAAGCGUUAAUCGGAAUUACUGGGCGUAAAGCGAACGCAGGCGGUUUGUUAAGUCAGAUGUGAAAUCAUCGGGCUCAACCUGGGAACUGCAUCUGAUACUGGCAAGCUUGAGUGUCGUAGAGGGGGGUAGAAUUCCAGGUGUAGCGGUGAAAUGCGUAGAGAUCUGGAGGAAUACCGGUGGCGAAGGCGGCCCACUGGACGAAGACUGACGCUCAGGUGCGAAAGCGUGGGGAGCAAACAGG